rnacentral:rRNA from 1 species
AUUUUCGGCAAUGGGCGAAAGCCUGACCGAGCAACGCCGCGUGAACGAAGAAGGUCUUCGGAUCGUAAAGUUCUGUUAUCGGGGAAGAGAGGGCAAUUUAGGGAAUGGAAUUGCAGAGGACGGUACCCGAUGAGGAAGCCACGGCUAACUACGUGCCAGCAGCCGCGGUAAUACGUAGGUGGCGAGCGUUAUCCGGAAUUAUUGGGCGUAAAGCGCGCGCAGGUGGUUUCUUAAGUCUGAUGUGAAAGCCUACGGCUUAACCGUAGAAUUGCAUUGGAAACUGGGGGACUUGAGUGCAGAAGAGGAAAGUGGAAUUCCACGUGUAGCGGUGAAAUGCGUAGAGAUGUGGAGGAACACCGGUGGCGAAGGCGACUUUCUGGUCUGCAACUGACACUGAGGCGCGAAAGCGUGGGGAGCAAACA